GUGUGUGCUAAACUCAGGGAUGUUUUUCAUUUAUUUGUUUUAACUUCCUACCUGUCCCAUUUAUUUCAAAAGUAACAGUAUUUAAAUAUUCACAUAUUUUUUUUAUCUGACAUGUUGUAGAAAACUAAUGUUUUUUUUUUCUAGUGUUGUAGUCACAACUGCUCUUAAAGGUGGAUAGGGCUGUCUACGGGCAAAAAAUUAGCAAAUCUGUACGGGACAUGCUGGUGGCUCGCAGGAAAUAUCAAGGUCGCAGAUGCUCUGUGAACCGGUAGAGUGAAAAUGUUCAUGCACAAUUUUUCUACAGUCUUGCUUGAGGAGACAGGUCCUAGUGAAAACUUACACAACAAGUAAAUGUAAGUAAGGGGAAGCAGGUGAGAUGCAGGCACGUUGUAGGUUUUUUAUUUUUAGACUACCCCAAAUCCUGCGCAUUGCGCAGGGAGCCCAUUGGUGCUGUUCAGUUGAUAAGUGCAUGCCCCUCUGUUUGCAGCCUAACUAUUAGAAAUGAGGGAAUUGGACAAUCUGAGCAAUUUUGGAACAUUGUGUGGGCCUUCUAUGGCUGGGCUGCUAUGGGCCGCACGAAAUCUCAACAGUCACUCCUACAUCGCUUCUAGGUCGCUUAUGUAUCACCUGAAAACCCCAGGCAAUCAGCAUGUGCCCGCAGUCAGUAAGGAGCUUGUCUGCGCAUCUUACUAACGACUAAAGUAUGGCAUAAGAGGAGUCACGUGAUGAGGUGCCAGGAAAUGGCUGCAUAGUAGAUGAGCUCCGUACCCCGUCUUAGUUUUUUACGUCAAAUUAUGAAACUCUUCCCGUCUGCAUAAUUUAAAAACAGCAAAACUUGUUAAGAUACAAAAUUUUUUUUUUCUCCCAGCCGAAACAUGAGUCAGAAAAAACGAAGUAUACAAACGCGCCUCCCGACUGUCUCUACUGGCGAAGCUAGCCCUGCUAAUCAACAUGAGGGCCAGAGGACCGAAAUAAGCGACCUGCUUGCAGGAAAUUACUAAAGUGGGAGCUACACUGAAUACGGUGGCAAGUGAUGUUUCCCUAACUAAGUCUGACACGACAGAGUUAAAUAACACCGUAAGUGCAAUCCAACUAUGGCUAACUGGAGCCGAGAACCGCAUCUCGGACAUGGAGGACCAAGUUGCUAACGUGGCUAAAGACAAGAAGCUGCUAGCUAAGAAGCUUGAGCUACUUUGGGCUCGUGCUGAUGAUCAAGAAAACAGACAUCGUCAGAAAAAUAUAAGAUUGGUGGGGCCGAAAGAAGGAAUGGAAGGAAACAGCGCUCUAUGUGAUUACAUUAAAAAGUUACUCUCCGACGGCCUUGGGCUGGAUGGAUUGUAAUACGAGAUUGAAAGCUGCUACAGAAGCCCGGGACCAUGUCCAGGACCUAAUCAACCUCCGCGCAUCAUACUGGUGAGAUUUUUGCGAUAUGCAGCUUGGCAGAAAAGUCCUCAUGGCUGCCAAGAAGAAAAGAAGCAUAUUGUGGGAAACUGUAAGCUGUCAUUUUUUGAAGACUUGACCAAGGAGCAUGUCGCUCAGCGGAAGCUGUUUUCGCCAGUGAUGAAGCUGUUGUGGCAACGCCAGGUGAAACACACACACUGGCACAUCCAGCAAUCCUCAGAUUUACGUGAAAGCAGGAGCGCAUGAGCUUCACAGACGCGAAGGAAGCUGAAAACUUUGUUAAAGAAAACAUGGCCGUGGAGAAGGAGUAAUACAAGCAGAGGGGAGAGAGGAAGAUUUUUACACAUGACGGGGGAGGAGAGCAUCGAGGCGUUGCUAGAUCCAGAAGACAGGUGGAGGACAGGUAGAGUCUUCGAAACCCACACGGACCAAAAUAAAGUCUACACUUGGUUGGGGAGUUAUUACACUGCCAUGUUCUGUUUUAGUGCAGUGUUUAAGUUUUUGUGUUUUUGUUAAUUAUGGGAAAAUUUCAAACAGUGAGGAAUUUGUUUAUGUUGCAUGUGUAUUUGUUCUAAGAUGUCAUUGGAUACUAGAUCACCUUAAACGAGAAGCAGAAGCUAAUUUUAAAAUUCUAUUACAAUGGGUAAUGUGGAUAUGAACCUGGUGUCUUGGAAUAUAAAUGGCUGCAGCACGCCGAUUAAAAGGAAAAAAGUUCUCGGGUACCUCAAAUCCCAUGAUACUGAUGUUGCAUUUAUCCAAGAAACGCAUUUUGGAAAUGAUAAGGAAGCCUUAAAAAUGAGAAGAGACUGGGUUGGCAAAGUGUUUCACAACUCAGUAUCGAGUAAAAGCCGUGGUGUGAUGACACUUCUCAACAAAAAACUUAACUUUGUAUUUCUAAAGCAGCUUCAGGAUGAUGAUGGACGACUGCUAUGCAUUCAGGCCCUUAUUAAUGAGAUUAAGGUUGUUUUGGUGAAUGUGUAUGACUUUAUUUACAAGAUUAAUAAGAUGCUGAGUAAUUUAGAAGGACAGAUAUUGAUAGGUGGGGACUUUAACCAGGUGCCUGAUGAUUUUCUAGAUAAAAGUACUAACAAUGUUAAGUCAAACACCAGAAAAGGGUUGGCAUUAAAUUCUCUCAAACAGGAAAUUGGGUUGGUAGAUAUGUGGAGACUUGUACACCCCUCGGAAAGGGAAUAUACAUUCUACUUACACUCCCACAAAUCUUAUUCUCGAAUUGAUUAUUUUCUUAUCUCAAACUCAAGCACUGAACUAGUUACUAAUUGUGAAAUAGGUGUUAUUGCCCUCACUGAUCAUGCACCAGUGGAACUACACAUUCAUUUACAAAUGGGUAAAACUAAGCGUGGUAGAUGGAGAUUAAACUUGGGUAUCCUGCGGGAUGAACAGUUUGUAGAAUCAUUAAAAGAGAAAAUCAAAUGUUUCUUAGAUAUAAAUAUUGGGUCAACUGACAGGCUGGCCACAGUAUGGGAUGCUCUUAAGGUAUUCAUGAAAAAAACAGGAAAAUGUCUGGGCUAUAGCUCUAAAAAAGCAAGAGAGAGCAGGGAGAAAAUAAAAAUACUGGAGAAUCAAUUAAAGGAAUGGGAAAAACGGCUAGCACAAAACUAUAAUGAAAGUAAAUUUAAAGAAAUUUGUAAACUGAAGUUUAACCUCCAUGAAACAUAUAACAAAAAGGGUGAAUAUGCACUUUUUCGGCUCAAAACAAACUUCUAUGAGAAGGGUGAAAAGACGAUAAAACUACUGGCCAGACAACUCAAACAGCUGGACAAUCAAAAUUUCAUCACAGCAAUAAACAAGAAUGAUAGACUGGUGACAUCAUCUGGUGAAAUUAACACCGUCUUUAAACAGUUCUACCAAAAAUUGUAUACAUCGGAAACUGUUGUUAGCACAGAACAGUUAGAUGCUUUUUACAAUAAGGUGAUGAUACCACAGAUUUCACAAGAGGGAAAGGAUGCAAUGGACUUUACUUUAACGGAAGCUGAGGUCAGGAAAGCAAUUAGUAAGAUGAAAACUGGAAAAUAACCUGGAAUAGAUGGCUUUCCAGUUGAAUACUACCAAAUAUUUGCAGACGUAUUGUGCCCGUUCUUAACUAAAGUACUUCAAGAAGCCUAUGAUUUUGGGACACUCCCUGAAAGUUUUAACCAGGCAAUAAUAUCAUUAAUACCAAAAGGUGACAAAGACUUAAGGGACCCAGCCAAUUACAGACCCAUAAGUUUAAUAAAUGUGGAUUGCAAAUUACUAUCAAAAAUAUUAGCAAUGAGGCUAGAGAAGGAGCUGCCAAAGAUUAUUCAUAAAGAUCAAGUUGGUUUUGUCAAAAAUAGAUUGUCAGCUGAUAACAUGAAUCACGCUUUUCCAUUUGGUAAUCUGACGGACGAGUCUGGGUUUGGAGGUUGCCAGGAGAACAGUACAUUUCGGACUGCGUGUGUGAAAUUUGGUGAAGGAGGAAUUAUGGUGUGGGGUUGUUUUUUAGGACUUGGGCCUGACCCCUUAGUUCCGGUGAAAGGAACAUUAAAAUUUUCAUGAGACCAAAACAUUUUGGACAAUUCCAUGCUCCCAACCUCGUGGGAACAGUUUGGAGCGGCCCCUUCCUCUUUCAGCACGACUGUGCACCAGUCCACAAAGCAAGGUCCAUAAAGACAUGGAUGACAAAGUCUGGUGUGGAUAAACUUGACUGUUCUGCACAGAGUCCUGACCUGAACCCGAUAGAACACCUUUUGGAUGAAUUAGACCAGAGACUGAGAGCCAGGCCUUCUCAACAAACGUCAGUUUUUGACCUCACCAAUGCAGUUUAGGAAGGUUCAUAUUGAACUCAUAUGGGUUUGGAAUGGGAUGGCACUUUAGAUUAUGUGAGUCAAGGCAGGUGAGCAAAUACUUUUUGUAAAAUAGUUUAUGUGCAUCUUAUACGCAAUAUAAAAAUUAUACAUCUGUGGUACAUGUGUGAAAAGUCCAUUAGACAGACUUGGUACAUUCUUGGAGAGCCACAAAUUACGUGCAAUUGCCUAAGAUUUACGUGAUAAUUGUGUAUAAACUACGUUAAAAACCCAUAAACUGGAUAUUUCUUAACUGACCCAAAAUUUUGAACAGGUCAAAACCGAUUUCAUGUGAACCGUUGGCCGAAACCCUCGACGGACAUCUGCGCACAUCAAAGAAAGAAACACAAGAAAGACCCUCUGAACUACCCAGAAUACUUUUGUGGCUAUUGUUGAUCUACCUGAAGGGGAACACCAGUACAAGUUUUACGUGGAUGGACAGUGGACUCAUGACCCCACUGAGCCUGUCAUAACCAGCCAGUU